UACGGGGGGUGCGAGCGUUGUCCGGAAUCACUGGGCGUAAAGGGCGCGUAGGUGGCGUGAUAAGGGUGUGGUGAAAGCCCGGGGCUCAACCCCGGGUCUGCCAUGCCGACUGUCAGGCUAGAGUACUGUAGGGGCAGGCGGAAUUCCGGGUGUAGCGGUGGAAUGCGUAGAGAUCCGGAGGAAGACCGGUGGCGAAGGCGGCCUGCUGGGACGUUACUGGCGCUGAGACGCGAAAGCGUGGGGAGCAAACAGG
rnacentral:rRNA from 1 species